rnacentral:rRNA from 1 species
GAUGAACGCUGGCGGUAUGCCUAACACAUGCAAGUCGUACGAGAGUUUUUAACUCUAGUGGCGGACGGGUGAGUAACACGUGAGAAUUUGCCUUUAGGAGGGGACAACAAUUGGAAACGAAUGCUAAUACCCCAUAUGCUUUCGAGUGAAAUGGAUUUAUCCGCCUAAAGAGAAGCUCGCGGCUGAUUAGCUUGUUGGUAAGGUAAGAGCUUACCAAGGCGACGAUCAGUAUCUGGUUUGAGAGGACGAUCAGACACACUGGAACUGAGACACGGUCCAGACUCCUACGGGAGGCAGCAGUGGGGAAUUUUCCGCAAUGGGCGAAAGCCUGACGGAGCAAUACCGCGUGAGGGAAGACUGCCUAUGGGUUGUAAACCUCUUUUUUCUAGGGAGGAAUAAAAAUGACGUGUACCUGAAGAAUAAAGCACCGGCUAACUACGUG